rnacentral:rRNA from 1 species
GACAGAGGUCCCAAGCGUUGUUCGGAUUUACUGGGCGUAAAGGGCGCGUAGGCGGCCGGGCCCGUCCGGCGUGAAAGCCCGCAGCUUAACUGCGGAAGGGCGCACGGAUACUACCCGGCUCGAGGGUUGGAGAGGGGAUUGGAAUUCUCGGUGUAGCGGUGAAAUGCGUAGAGCUCGAGAAGAACACCAGUGGCGAAGGCGAGUCCCUGGACAAUUCCUGACGCUGAGGCGCGAAAGCCGGGGGA